UACAGAGGUCUCAAGCGUUGUUCGGAUUCAUUGGGCGUAAAGGGUGCGUAGGCGGCGCGGUAAGUCGGGUGUGAAAUCUCGGGGCUUAACUCCGAAACUGCAUUCGAUACUGGCGUGCUUGAGGACUGGAGAGGAGACUGGAAUUCAUGGUGUAGCAGUGAAAUGCGUAGAGAUCAUGAGGAAGACCAGUGGCGAAGGCGGGUCUCUGGACAGUUCCUGGCACUGAGACACGAAGGCCAGGGGAGCAAACGGG
rnacentral:rRNA from 1 species